UUCCUACUGCCAGGACAUACAGUCCUUUCUACCAGUAAACACUUCCUACUGUCAGGACAUGACAUGCCAGUCCUUUCUACCAGUAAACACUUCCUACUGUCAGGACAUACAGUCCUUUCUACCAGUAAACACUUCCUACUGCCAGGACAUACAGUCCUUUCUACCAGUAAACACUUCCUACUGCCAGGACAUGACAUGCCAGUCCUUUCUACCGGUAAACACUUCCUACUGUCAGGACAUACAGUCCUUUCUACCAGUAAACACUUCCUACUGCCAGGACAUGACAUGCCAGUCCUUUCUACCAGUAAACACUUCCUAGCAGUGCCAGGACAUGACAUGCCAGUCCUUUCUACCAGUAAACACUUCCUAGCAGUGUGGGUCUCCGUGUUCUCAUGUGACCGUAGAGAAGGAGAC
rnacentral:lncRNA from 13 species